AUUGAACGCUGGCGGCAUGCUUUACACAUGCAAGUCGAACGGUAGCAGGUUAAGCUGACGAGUGGCGAACGGGUGAGUAAUGCAUCGGAACGUGCCCGGUCGGGGGGGAUAACGCAGCGAAAGUUGCGCUAAUACCGCAUACGAUCUGAGGAUGAAAACGGGGGACCGUAAGGCCUCGCGCGAUCGGAGCGGCCGAUGUCAGAUUAGGUAGUUGGUGGGGUAAAGGCUCACCAAGCCAACGAUCUGUAGCUGGUCUGAGAGGACGACCAGCCACACUGGGACUGAGACACGGCCCAGACUCCUACGGGAGGCAGCAGUGGGGAAUUUUGGACAAUGGGCGAAAGCCUGAUCCAGCAAUGCCGCGUGCAGGAUGAAGGCCUUCGGGUUGUAAACUGCUUUUGUACGGAGCGAAAAGGUCUCCUCUAAUACAGGGGGCUCAUGACGGUACCGUAAGAAUAAGCACCGGCUAACUACGUGCCAGCAGCCGCAGUAA
rnacentral:rRNA from 1 species